AAAAGUAUAGCUCAGUGGUAGAGUGUGCGCUUAGCAUACACAAGGUCCUGGGUUCAAUUCCCAGUACCUCUA
rnacentral:tRNA from 1 species